UACAGAGGGGGCAAGCGUUGUUCGGAAUUACUGGGCGUAAAGGGCGCGUAGGCGGACCUGCAAGUCGGGGGUGAAAGCCCGAGGCUCAACCUCGGAACUGCCUUCGAUACUGCGGGUCUCGAGUCCGGGAGAGGUGAGUGGAAUUCCUAGUGUAGAGGUGAAAUUCGUAGAUAUUAGGAGGAACACCAGUGGCGAAGGCGGCUCACUGGCCCGGUACUGACGCUGAGGCGCGAAAGCGUGGGGAGCAAACAGG
rnacentral:rRNA from 1 species